AUUGAACGCUGGCGGCAGGCUUAACACAUGCAAGUCGAGCGGAAACGAUGAAAAGCUUGCUUUUCAGGCGUCGAGCGGCGGACGGGUGAGUAAUGCUUGGGAAUAUGCCUUAUGGUGGGGGACAACAGUUGGAAACGACUGCUAAUACCGCAUAAUGUCUACGGACCAAAGGGGGGGAUCUUCGGACCUCUCGCCAUUUGAUUAGCCCAAGUGAGAUUAGCUAGUUGGUGAGGUAAAGGCUCACCAAGGCGACGAUCUCUAGCUGGUUUGAGAGGAUGAUCAGCCACACUGGGACUGAGACACGGCCCAGACUCCUACGGGAGGCAGCAGUGGGGAAUAUUGCACAAUGGGGGAAACCCUGAUGCAGCCAUGCCGCGUGUGUGAAGAAGGCCUUCGGGUUGUAAAGCACUUUCAGUUGUGAGGAAAGGUGUGUAGUUAAUAGCUGCAUACUGUGACGUUAGCAACAGAAGAAGCACCGGCUAACUUCGUG
rnacentral:rRNA from 1 species